rnacentral:rRNA from 1 species
CCUACGGGGGGCAGCAGUGGGGAAUAUUGGACAAUGGGGGCAACCCUGAUCCAGCGAUGCCGCGUGUGUGAAGAAGGCCCUCGGGUUGUAAAGCACUUUCAGUGAGGAAGAACGCCUGGUGGUUAAUACCCAUCAGGAAAGACAUCACUCACAGAAGAAGCACCGGCUAACUCCGUGCCAGCAGCCGCGGUAAUACGGAGGGUGCGAGCGUUAAUCGGAAUUACUGGGCGUAAAGCGCGCGUAGGUGGCUUGAUAAGCCGGUUGUGAAAGCCCCGGGCUCAACCUGGGAACGGCAUCCGGAACUGUCAAGCUAGAGUGCAGGAGAGGAAGGUAGAAUUCCCGGUGUAGCGGUGAAAUGCGUAGAGAUCGGGAGGAAUACCAGUGGCGAAGGCGGCCUUCUGGACUGAAACUGACACUGAGGUGCGAAAGCGUGGGUAGCAAACAGGAUUAGAUACCCCGGUAGUC